rnacentral:rRNA from 1 species
AGUGAACGCUGGCGGUAGGCCUAACACAUGCAAGUCGAACGGCAGCACAGUAAGAGCUUGCUCUUACGGGUGGCGAGUGGCGGACGGGUGAGGAAUACAUCGGAAUCUACUUUUUCGUGGGGGAUAACGUAGGGAAACUUACGCUAAUACCGCAUACGACCUACGGGUGAAAGCAGGGGAUCUUCGGACCUUGCGCGAUUGAAUGAGCCGAUGUCGGAUUAGCUAGUUGGCGGGGUAGAGGCCCACCAAGGCGACGAUCGGUAGCUGGUCUGAGAGGAUGACCGGCCACGUUGGGACUGAGAUAAGGCCCAGACUCCUAGGGGAGGCAGCAGUGGGGAAUAUUGCACAAUGGGAGGAAGCCUGAUGCAGCAACGCCGCGUGCGGGAGGACGGCCUUCGGGUUGUAAACCGCUUUCGCCUGUGACGAAGCGUGAGUGACGGUAAUGGGUAAAGAAGCACCGGCUAACUACGUG